AUUGAACGCUGGCGGCAGGCUUAACACAUGCAAGUCGAACGAUGAUUUCCCAGCUUGCUGGGAAUGAUUAGUGGCGGACGGGUGAGUAACAUUUAGGAAUCUGCCUAGUAGUGGGGGAUAGCUCGGGGAAACUCGAAUUAAUACCGCAUACGACCUACGGGUGAAAGGGGGCGCAAGCUCUUGCUAUUAGAUGAGCCUAAAUCAGAUUAGCUAGUUGGUGGGGUAAAGGCCCACCAAGGCGACGAUCUGUAACUGGUCUGAGAGGAUGAUCAGUCACACCGGAACUGAGACACGGUCCGGACUCCUACGGGAGGCAGCAGUGGGGAAUAUUGGACAAUGGGGGCAACCCUGAUCCAGCCAUGCCGCGUGUGUGAAGAAGGCCUUUUGGUUGUAAAGCACUUUAAGCAGGGAGGAGAGGCUAAUGGUUAAUACCCAUUAGAUUAGACGUUACCUGCAGAAUAAGCACCGGCUAACUCUGUGCCAGCAGCCGCGGUAAUACAGAGGGUGCGAGCGUUAAUCGGAAUUACUGGGCGUAAAGCGAGUGUAGGUGGCUCAUUAAGUCACAUGUGAAAUCCCCGGGCUUAACCUGGGAACUGCAUGUGAUACUGGUGGUGCUAGAAUAUGUGAGAGGGAAGUAGAAUUCCAGGUGUAGCGGUGAAAUGCGUAGAGAUCUGGAGGAAUACCGAUGGCGAAGGCAGCUUCCUGGCAUAAUAUUGACACCGAGAUUCGAAAGCGUGGGUAGCAAACAGGAUUAGAUACCCUGGUAGUCCACGCCGUAAACGAUGUCUACUAGCCGUUGGGGUCCUUGAGACUUUAGUGGCGCAGUUAACGCGAUAAGUAGACCGCCUGGGGAGUACGGCCGCAAGGUUAAAACUCAAAUGAAUUGACGGGGGCCCGCACAAGCGGUGGAGCAUGUGGUUUAAUUCGAUGCAACGCGAAGAACCUUACCUGGUCUUGACAUAGUGAGAAUCCUGCAGAGAUGCGGGAGUGCCUUCGGGAAUUCACAUACAGGUGCUGCAUGGCUGUCGUCAGCUCGUGUCGUGAGAUGUUGGGUUAAGUCCCGCAACGAGCGUAACCCUUUUCCUUAUUUGCCAGCGGGUUAAGCCGGGAACUUUAAGGAUACUGCCAGUGACAAACUGGAGGAAGGCGGGGACGACGUCAAGUCAUCAUGGCCCUUACGACCAGGGCUACACACGUGCUACAAUGGUAGGUACAGAGGGUUGCUACACAGCGAUGUGAUGCUAAUCUCAAAAAGCCUAUCGUAGUCCGGAUUGGAGUCUGCAACUCGACUCCAUGAAGUCGGAAUCGCUAGUAAUCGCAGAUCAGAAUGCUGCGGUGAAUACGUUCCCGGACCU
rnacentral:rRNA from 1 species